UACAGAGGUCUCAAGCGUUGUUCGGAUUCAUUGGGCGUAAAGGGUGUGUAGGUGGCGCCGUAAGUCGGGUGUGAAAUCUCGGAGCUUAACUCCGAAACUGCAUUCGAUACUGCCGUGCUUGAGGACUGGAGAGGAGACUGGAAUUUACGGUGUAGCGGUGAAAUGCGUAGAGAUCGUAAGGAAGGCCAGUGGCGAAGGCGAGUUCCUGGACAGUUACUGACGCUGAGGCACGAAGGCCAGGGGAGCAAACGGG
rnacentral:rRNA from 1 species